rnacentral:snoRNA from 1 species
AUGAUGAGAAGAUGGUCUAGCGAUACGAUGAGCAAGAGACCGAUCGCUGA